AACUCUAGAAAGACUGCUGGUUAUAAACCGGAGGAAGGCGGGGAUGACGUCAAGUCAGCAUGCCCCUUACACCCUGGGCUACACACGUGCUACAUUGGGCGAGACAAUGAGAUGCAAACCUGCGAGGGUAAGCUAAUCUAUAAACUCGUUCUAAGUUCGGAUUGUAGGCUGCAACUCGCCUACAUGAAGGUGGAAUCGCUAGUAAUCGCUGGUCAGCUAUACAGCGGUGAAUUCGUUCCCGGGCCUUGUACACACCGCCCGUCACACCAUGGAAGCUGGUUAUACCCGAAGUCGUUACUCUAA
rnacentral:rRNA from 14 species